CUCUCUGCCGGGGGUCGCCCUGCCCGGAGCAGUCGCGCGGAGACUGCGCGGCCUCCGCCUCUACGCGCUCGCGGUCGCCGCUCCUCUCCCGCCUUUGUUCUCGGGUCGCCCCUCUCGCUGGUGGCGCUCCGAGAGAGCAGCGGAGCCACCUGCCCAGGCCACGCUUCCCCGAGCAUCCGCAGCUGCACCCGGGGGCUGUCGGCGCCCGCCCCGGAGCGUGCGGGAGGCACAGCGGGAAGAAGUCGCUGAGAUUCGGCCCUCGUGGCUUUGCGUGCCCGCGUGGUUGAUGCCUCCGCCGAGAACGCGGUCGGCCGGGAGCCGGGGAGGAGCGUGGACGCCGGCCUGGCAGGUACCCCCGCGAGAACGUGGGAGCCGGUGUAUUUCAGCUGCAUUUAUUACUGAUCUCGGGCUGCACCAGGGCACUUGUAGGACCGCACUAAAAACAGCGGAAAGUGAGGAGCCAAGCCUGGGUCCGGGGCGGCCCGCCGUACAGCUGGCCUCACGGAUUCCACUGCCUGCGCCUGCAGAUGACUUGUUCUGGAGAGUAGAGAAUGUUCUCGGAUUUAAAGUACAAUCCGGUUUCCUUUCCAUUCAUUAUAGUUGCCUACACUCAACAAACAAAAGUUGGGAAAGAUAAAGGGAUUAUUCUAGCGCGUCACAUUGACAAACACCGACGUUAACACGCUCAGUCCAGCCUGACUCACUUGCCUCAGGUCAGAGAGGUCACCACUGACGACGCCGGGCCCUCAAGCCGAUCCUAAUCCAGCUUGGUUCUCUCAGCCUCAGCCAGACCAUCCGUUCUUGCCUCUGUCCCACCACGUGCAGGUGUAAGCUUCCGCCGCACUUCUUGUCUGAAUCUGCCAAGAAGAAACUGCAUCUUUCAGCUAAAUUCUUUUCACUGAUCAGGGUAGAGUUUAGCGGUUUUUUUUUUAAGAAAAAAAACAAAAACAAAAAAAAACUCUUAAGCUAUUUGGUACUCCUCUCCCUCCGGGAUUCUGUCUCUAGAUUGUGAAAGCUGUCAGAGAAUGGAGUCAGGGAAAGCCGUGAUGGGAAAGUUCUCACUAAUAAUUGCCUGAUAUAAAGAAUUAGCACAAAAGACUGCCAAAACCACAACCUUGCACAAAGGCCACAAAACUACACAAAAAAAUGCUUCAAGGACAUUUGCGCAGCAACUGCCUGUCCAACCUUGGACUGGCCAUCCCCUUUGUUACUGAUCUUUGUAGCCAAGGAUAAUUGUUUCAAAACAACUUACGUAAUCCUCCUCGUUUUUCCUUUUAAACCCCUUAUCUUCCUUUACCUCCCUGAAUACACCUAUAGUUUACUAUGACACCAUAUUCUACAUUGCAAUGCCCACUUUCAAAUAAAUUUGUCAUGUUUGGCAAA
ensembl:lncRNA novel transcript